UCAAGGUCCAUUGGUGUUGUUUUGUCUUUAUUCCAAGCUAGCGUAUUUGUCCAUGUACUACUGCAAAACCAUGGGUAUUCUUGUGACCACUCUUUUGGAUCUGGAAUAUUUUCAUGAUAUUCUUUAAGUGCUUUUUUUAAUUCCAUUUGAUAUGGUGUCGGUGGUUUUACAUUGAAAUCCCAAGGUUCUGUGGGUAUGGUUUUACAUUGAAAUCUCCUAGUGGCCAUAUCUCUGUGGGUAUGGUUCUGUUGAGUUGACAGAGAUAUUUUUGCAAUGCUUUGUAGUCAUAUGAAUUUGUAUAGACUUCUGGACUGUAUGUUUUGUGAAUCCAAGUCAUUGGAAAUUCUCCCAAUUGAGUUGAUGCACCAUUUUCCAUAAAAUAUUGUGGUUUGUAGAAGAUAAUUACUAUACUUGAAGGAAGUGUCUCUUUAGAUUAAUCAAGUGUUAAGGUAAUCAUAUCCAACCACUGGUUUAAAGGAUAAAACCAUUUAAGAAAGAUAGCCAAGUUGUGAAGCUCUGGGUUUUCAUGUCCUUGAUAAGCAACAGUGAGAAAAUAUUGGAGAUCCAAUAUAUCAAACUGUAUUCCAAUUUGGUAUAGGUGGGUGAGAUACCAUAACAUCCAUUUUAAUUCAUCAGAAAAUUCAGUAAAUUGAAAUUUAAUGGGAUGAAUAAAUGGAUAUUCUGGAUGAAUAAAUAUGGUUUUAAGUCCUAGCAGUUUCAGGUAUAAUCCCCCAAAGUUUCUGAAAACAUCAAGUUGAUAAGAAAGAAUCAUGUUCAUGGUUUCCUUGUGAAAUAUUUUUUCAAGGAUGUGACUUAAUACUUCAGGUGGAUGUUCAAGGUGUGAGUUAGGUGGCACAUAUGGAGUGUUGAAAGGAAGUGGAGGGUUUGACACAAUGUCUUUUUUUCUUUUGGGAAGAUGAGAAAGAUGAAUGUGUCAUCAAUUAAAACCUUUUUAGGUUGCCUGGUUAAGAAGUCAGCUAAAACAUUGGUCUUUUCCUUAAUGUGUUUAACAUCAAAGGAAUAUUUUGAAAACCAUUCUGACCAUCUUAAUAGCUGAGGAUGAGGAACCUCCUUUUGUUUGAAUUUUAGCUUUUUUAAGAAGGAAGACAUAUCCAUCUCUAUAAGAAAAUGAUAUCCUAUGAGAUGAAAAUCAAACUUUGAAAUACCUUUUUUAACUACAAGGAUUUUUUCGAAGGUUGAGUGGUAAUGUAUUUCUGCAUCAGAAAACCUUCCACUUUUGUAUCCACAAAGGUAUCUUUUUUCUUCCAUUUCUGCCCCCUAAUAUUUAUCACUAGCAUCCGUCUCGAGAAUUCUUUUUCCUUCUGAUGGAAUUUGUAACGGUGGCAGUUGCUGAAGUUUCUCCUUAAGAGUUUUUACUGCAUUUGUUUGAGUUGUACUCCAUGGAAGAGGGUCUUUCUUCAACAUUUUUCUUAAAGGAUUUGUAAAUUUAGAGAUUUUUUGAAUAAAAUCCCUAAGAUAAUUUACAAUUCCUAAGAAUUGUUGAACCUGCUUCUUUGAAAAAUUACUUUAUGAGAAUUUAAGCAAUUCUUCUGCAAUAUGUUUUCCUGGCUGGUAUUUUCCAUCCUUGAGCUGCAUACCUAGGAACUCAAUUUCAUCUUUGUUGAUCUGUAUUUUUCUUUUAAAUAGCAUAAUCUCAUGGUGCAGUACCAACUGUUUGAAUCGUUGCAAUAGUUCUGUAUGAGCUUUUUGAUUUGGAUUGUAAAGAAGUAUAUCAUCGAUAUAGACCAAAGCAUGGUCCAUAAUAGGCUGAAAAAUCUUUAUCAUGACUUUUGAAAUAGUGAUGGAGCAGUUUUGAGCCCAAAAGGCAUUACUGUCCAUUGGAAAUGCUUGUUUGGAAUGCAAAAUCCUAUUUUAGGCCUAUCUUCUGGAUCAAUUCCCAAUUGCCAAAAUCCUUUCUUUAGGUCAAACUUUGAGAAAACCUUUGUUUGGGCAAUACUGGAGAACAUUGAAUUACGAUUUGGCAAAGGGACCUUAUCAUCUUGGAUAAAAUAGUUUAAAGGCUGAUAAUUUAUUACCAACCUUAAUUUUCCUCUACCCUGCUCAGCUCUUUUAUUGACAUAAAAAGCUUCACAAGCCCAUUGAGAAUUUGAUCAUUCUAUCAACCCUUGUUGUUGUAGCUGCCUGCAUUCUUCUUCAGCUAGCUUCUGAUGUUCAUGAUUCAUUCUUGUAUGACUGGCUUUGGUGGGGCUGAUAUCUUCAUUCUUUUUGAAAGAAAGUGUGAUGAAAAAUUUAGAAUUUUUUCAUAAAGGAUUUUCACAUUUUUUAAAAGAUCUCGUGGUUGGGUUUGAUGUAUACACUAAAGCUCAACAUAUGAGGAUACCACUAGAUAGGGUUCGGUACAAAAAGAUGUUCAAACUUUUGUCCAGAUUCCCAGAUUGUUUAUGAUUAAUUAAGAAAAUAUUCAGGAGAUAAUUAGAGAAUUGAAAGGUAAAGCAUGUGCUGAUUCACAUUCAGAAUUUCUCAAGGAGAUCAGAUCCCAAUACUGUAGUCUUUAUUGAACAUCCUGGGAAAAAUUAGAUGUUAACUGGCUUACUAAUCUAGUGGGUAGCAAAGACUUGAUCUGUCGCUGAGUUGAAAUAAUGGACAUGCGAUUUCUAAAACUCUGAAGGCAGUAUCUUUGGAUUCAUGAUAGUCUCAGCUGCACCAGUAUCUAUAAAGGCAAUAACAUUAAUGGGCUUAUUGUAUUUAUCCAAAUAAAUGGAUACUAGUAUGUGAAGGAUAGAGACUUUCGUGGAGGUAGAAAGAAUCUGGGCCUUGAUCAUAUAGCUGUCAUUUGAUGAUGAUUUCGAGUUGUAUACAAUUCCUUGGAUAGCACACAGUGAUUGUUCCGUUAGUUUAUCAUCAAUGGAGAAAAGGGAUUCAAGAUCAUCUUCUUUUCUGAUCUUAAUUCCUGAUUCUUGUUGUAUUUGUUGAAUCAUUCUAGAUAUUUUUUUUAUUGUUUAGGUAGUUUUUUGCAAAAUGGCCAUUUUAAUUACAGAUAUAACAUCUGUUGGAUUUAUUUCCCCUUGGAGAUCUCUUUUUUUUUUCAAAUAUUUCAAUUUUGUUUUCCUUCUAAAGGAUAUUGAAAACCUGGGAUUCUUGAAAUUUCUGAAAUGUUUUUUUCUUCUUUGUCCUACAAUAGCAAUGUUUUUCAUGUCCACACUUGAUUCGCAAGUAAGAAUCAUCACAUGUUUUUUCAAUAUUCCAUGGAGAUAAUCCUUAAAAACCUUCUUCCUGUUACAUAGGUCUUCAAGAGCAACAUAAGUUUCUUGCUGGAUUUCUCCCAUAGUUAGAUUAAGAUUGUUUCUGUUUUGCCUGUGGAGACUUUGAUUGAUGGCAACUUGGAGUGGCUCAGGAAUAGAUGCAAGAACUGCAGGUUUAAGACUUUGUUCCAGACCAAGUGAACAAAAAAGUUUGGUCAUUGCAUGGAAAUGCUUGGAUAAGUCUUUCUUGUUGUAAGAGCAGCAUUUUCGUUUGAAGAACUUCUUUUUAAAGUUAGGAGAUCUUCAGGAUUUCCAAUAAAAUGAUUAUGGAUAAUCCUGAUAGAUUGGGAUAAAUCUGUUAAGACCAAAAAUUGCAUCUGAUCUACUUGACUGAUUGAAUUCCACCAAUCUUUUAACAUUCCUGUGAAUCUGGAGACAAAUUCUAGUAGGAUGUUAUAAUGGCUUUCUUUUGUCAAUUUUCUGGUGUCAAGCCAUACAUGAAACUCCUGGAGUCAUUCUGGCCAUCUGAAAGUUGGUAUGUCAUCAAAAGUGAAAGUUGUUUUUCCUCCUGAGAUUGUUGGUAGAGGUCUAACAAUUGAUGUUUCGCCAGUAUUCUCCGUUCCUUCAUCUGACAUUUCAACUUUAACUUCUGGCUAGGUGGUUGCUAUUACUCAAGUUUCUUUUCUUUCUAAGAUAUCAUCAGAAGAUUCUGGGACAUCUUCACUGGAUUCUUCAGAGGAGUUUGAUUUAUCUGUGGCUUCUUGUAAAGCUGUUAUCUUGGGGAGCGUUUGCUGAUUAUAAUCCUUUAAAAAUGUUGAUAAAGGAUUUGAAUGACCUCUAUUCUCCUUAAUUAUUAAAGACUAAGACACUUGCUUUAGUGUAGGAGAAUCUUCUUGUCAUUCAUUAAUAGGUAUUUUCCCCAAUGAUUUUUCUUCCUUCUGCUUUUUUGCGUCUUCUUGUUUCUUUUUCUCUUUCGUUUCUCUUUUUUCUUUCUCCUUUUGAACUCUGAUCUGUAAAAACAAAUCAAAGGUGUUGGGUUUAUUCUUUUCAUCUAGUGGAAGGAAAGUCAAUCUUAAUUCUUUUGGAGGAGGUGGAGCAUCUAUCUGCCUUAUUAAGGGGAAUAAUUCAAUUCUAUUCCUAAAUGGUUUAAGAGGUGAAAUUUGUCCUGUUUAUUUUAGCAUCUUGAUUUGCUCCUUGAGAUUCUGAAUUUCUUUCUCUCUUUGAGUAAGGUAAGAGAAGACAUCUUGUCCUAGUGUUGCUGGCUCUCUGGCUACUUCUUUUAGACGAUUCUGUAAUAAACGAGUUAGAUCGUUUAUCAUUUUUGAGUUUUCAUUAUCUUUUGCCUCAACUCUAGAAACUUUAGAAUCUAUGUUUCUUAGAAUCGAGUUUUGAGCUAAAGCAUUUUCUGUCUGGCAGUUGAGUGUUGCUUCUACAGCAGCAAUUUUGGUUGUCCUUCCUGCUUGGUCAGCUUGUAUUUUUGUCGGGAUUUUAGGAACAUGUGUAUAUCACUCAGUAGAAAAUUCCUCAAGAGGAGAAAAAACCUUAUCAUAUGAUGACACUGAUUGGUAUAUACAUGCAGCAGGUAUUUAUGGUUGUACAACUUUUGGAACUGUGUUUCUGAUUUCAGCUAAACAUCUUUGCUUCUGCACCCAUUUGUUGAUCUUUUUGUAGCAAGGUUGCUUUAGGGGUUUCUGGACCCAUUUCUACUUCUGCUGGUCAUCUGGUGGUAGAGAAGAUGGUUUUGGUAGUGGCAAUGUUGAUGGUAGAAAUACUGGGUUUUUGGGUCUUGUAGCUAAGUAAUCUACAAGAUAAACAAAUUUCCCAUUACCUUCCCCAAGUGGUUCGAUGUCUAGGUCACCAUCCAUCCAUCUCUUCUAAAAUUCAGAUUGGGUGGAUUUCUUCUUCUUGCCUCCUUUCUUUUUAUGAGGCUUGUAGGUUGAGUUGUCCAUACUUUCAAUCCAUUCCUCAAAAUUCAGAUCUGUACAUAAAUCACAUGAACAUAUAGGAUCCCAUGGACAGUGUCCGAUUGCUGGAUCUUUGAACAUAUACAUAGGUUUCCCAUCUGCCUGAAAACUUUCUAUUAGGGUAGCUUCUAGUCUUGGACUGGGGUGUUGGAAUGAUUGCAUCAUCAAUUGUGUAGGAAACACUGAUGGAGUUGUUGAUGUAUUUUGACUGAGAUGAUUGUGAUCAAAUCUAAUCUCACUAGUAUCAUCUCCCUUUGAAAUGAUAUGGCUUUUGGUAGAUCUGACUAGUUGUCUGUGCUCCUAAAGCUGUUCAUAGUUUGUAACCUAAUUUCUGGUAAGAGUUUUAAUAACUCUUUCUUUGGAAUCUGUCUGGGUACAUGGAUACAGUGUGGCUCUUCCCUGGUGUUUACAGAAAUCAACAGCGAAUCAUCAAAUUCUUGAUUGGAUAGUUUAAAGGCAUGAUCUUAAAUCCUGUAUACAAUCUGAUAAUGGAAUGUGGUAGUAACUGCUGAUCCACCAUUUCAGCCCUAACUAUCUGGAUUUGAACCUUCAAGGUAUCCACAAGAUUUGGAUCUUGAAGUGACAUGGUAAAAUUAGGAAAUAAGGUUACCAUGAUUAAUCCAGAGCUCAAAGUUGCUUCAACAGUCCCGAUACAUGCAUAUUCAUAUUUAUGGUAUCUGGAGUCAAGAAGAGCAAUAAUGAAUGUUGACACUCGACUUUGGAAGGGUUAACUAAAUAUUAAAUUUAUAUAUUUUUAAUUAAAUACAUUUUAUUACAAAUGUUCAGUUAUAUAAAAAAAUCACUUUUGUUCAUAUUUUAAAAAUCAGUUUUUUAAUUAACAAUUUUUAAAUUAUUACAAAAUAAUUAUUUUGAUUUUUUUUAUAUUUUCAAAAUAUAAAUCUUUG
rnacentral:lncRNA from 1 species